rnacentral:rRNA from 1 species
UGGGGAAUAUUGCACAAUGGGGGAAACCCUGAUGCAGCGACGCCGCGUGAGUGAAGAAGUAUUUCGGUAUGUAAAGCUCUAUCAGCAGGGAAGAUGAUGACGGUACCUGAGUAAGAAGCCCCGGCUAACUACGUGCCAGCAGCCGCG